CAUCUCCCACCUUACAUUGCUUCAAGUACAGGAAGGGAAAGGCUCCAAAACUGUAAAGAUCUUCUUCAGCAGAAGAGUGACAGAGGAGCAGCUUAGGUACCCCCCUCCCAUGACAGCUAUGGAAAGCAAGGAGCUGAACCUUGAGGAAGCCCAUCAAGAUCACAAGUCAUUGUUAAAUAAUAUUUAUUUUGAAAAAGAAAAAAAAGGACCUUAGCAUUGUAAGCUGUAACUGCCUCCUUGGAAAUAGGAGAAAUGCUGAAAUCCAAAGCACAGCAAAGCUGAGGGUUGUAGACUUGCUACCUUCAACUGUUUUUGAAUUAAACUGCCUGGUGAUCCCAAUCAUAAUAUCUACAACCACCGUUCAGGGGAAAAUCAGAACAAAUGAAGUCAGACCAUUUACAGCAAUUCAGAACCCACAUAUGCUCAGACAUUUCCGUUCCAUCUCCACUUUUCUCCAGUGACAACAUUUGGGGUGAUUUCUUAAGAUCUCUACCUACAGCACUGGUACAAGUUCCACAAUGAUGUCAUUGGCACUGAACAGCCAACGGAAAUGAGCAGUUAAUUAUCUUAUAAAAGAAAUUUUGUCUUCAGUAGAGCUGCUUGAUUUAUCCAACAAAAUUGAAAAAAGAGAAAAAAUACAUUCUCAUAUCACUAGGCCGGGGUUGCUAGUACAAGCUAAAGUGAUCAAGGCCAGUAACAUGACUGUCUUUGAAAGUAAACCAAUCCUCAUAAAAGCAUCACUUGUGCAUCUUUUUUUUUUUUUGUGCUCACUUCAGAAAUGAGCAAAAUUCAGAGGGGAAGGAACUAAUAGUAUCUAAUCCUGUGUCCCCCUUUUUUUUCCUUUAUGUUCAUUUUCCAGCAGGGGAAGCAAGCUGACCAAGGGGCUAACAGGAUACAAGUUCCUUGCUCUAAAUUCUGGGAAAGGAGUUAAGUGAGUGAGAUGUCACUACCCUCUUCAUAUUCAACCACUGAGUGCUCUUGGGAUCACCUGUGGUCUGGACCAGUUUGUUUUUCAGUUUGUUUGUUUGCUAUAUUUGAAAAUAUAUGAAUGAGCAAGAAUUUAUUAUAAAGGCCAUACCUCAGGCUUUCUGCUAAAAUGUAAGUCAGCAGAAGACAAAAAGCUGUCUUAUUAUCACUUGUUUAAGACAGUGUAAGAAGUAAAUUGGAUUGUGGAAAAAAAAAACUCACGAAACUAACCUAAAUGGGUACUUUUUCCAUUGACUAUUGUAUUUCAUUGCCUUGUUUUUAAGUAAGUGAGCUCAAAGCAAUAUGUUUCCAGAAAGACCAGUCUGUCAGUACUGAUCAGUGAACACCCUAGGAGGUUCAUCUUUUGGUCACAUGAGAAAACAAACAAUAUCAUUAUGAUAAAGCUUCCUUGUAGGUCAAGGACAUAUAAAAGUACACUGACUAUAUAUUGCUGUAGACUGGUAACAAAAGCAAUCAUAGUAAUGACACAUGCAUUACUACCAAAUGCUGAAGACAAGAUGGAAGAGAUGGCAGGGUGUGUUUGUUGUGUUUCUCUGAAGGGGUAUAAUGAAGAUAACACAGGUUAAAAGGUGUUUCUCAAACUGUAAGAGUCAUACAUCUUUUAAGCAACAGACUAUCAAGUGUGCAACUCUUGAAAUAUGUGAGGAACAAAGCACAGUAUCAAAACUGCCAUUACUGUCCUGCUGCAUCAGCCAACUCGUAAAUCUAACAGCAAGAAGGAAACUAUUGCGAUCAGCUGAGGUCAGUAAGAGCUCCAUCAUUUGUUUAAAGAUGUACCUACCAAGUAGUAGGAGGAAAUUACUAACGCUAUUUGGAUCUAUUCACUAAUAAAAGACAGCAGUACUGAAAAGAAAUGAGGGUUGCACAGAGGACUGUGGAGUUUUAUCACUUCUUGGCAAGAGUUGUAUAUAUAUGUCAUAUAACGUGGUAGUAGCAGCUCAGCUGCCCAUUCUUCCAUUAGAUAAGGGCUAUACUUGCCUCUCUAUUGCACAGCCAGACUGCAUCCUAAAAGACUGCAUCCUAAAUGACUGCUCAGAUAGUUAUUUCUACCUGCUUUAUGGUCAGGGGCAACAAAUUCCCAGUGAUCAUACAAUGCAUGAGAAGUUUCAAAAGCAAUUUUUCUGUAGCACUGUUAAUUCUGUGGUACACAUGGAGCAAAACAUAGAUUAGAUUUCUAACAUGCAAUUUAUAAUAGCAGACAAAUAAUAAUCUUUUAUUUUCAAAGAUUUGAGAGCAAGCCAUACAAGAAUUAAAGGCUGAGCUGUGAAAGAAAAAUGUGUUUUGGAAUCCCUUCUUUAUUAGUUAAGCUAUCAUUGUUACUUUUCAAUUAUAGUACAAACGUGCAGCAUUCAUAAAGCAAAACAAUGCUGCAGAGUCUAUUGAUGGGAUUAGAUAUAAUGUGCCUCUAUUUAGGCCCAGUCCUUCAAGAUGUCAAGGUACCCCCAAGUCCCCCUGAAACUGUCUGACAUAGCAAAACGGAGGGGAUGAGAGAUGUCAGAACAGCACAAAUGAUCAGAUAAUUCUGCCUUGAACAAGUAUCUAGGUGUACUAUGACCCUAAACAGUUCCACAGUCAGCAGCUUAAAAUGACAGUGGGAGCUGAGAGCAUUCAGCAAUUGACAACAUCUCCACAUACAAAAUAUUCCACCCAGUGGUUUCCAAUGUAUGGGCCUCCAAAAAUAUUUGAAUGUUCUUUUUAAGAGAACCUUGAUAAGAGGAGAAUCUAUACAAGUAUACUGUUGUAUAACAUGUAGAUUUGCUUUCGACAGUAACUUUUCUUGAGCUUUUUGGCAGUGAUCUGCAAAUCCUCAAGAGUCUGGGGACCAUGGGCAGAGGAACAGCUGUCAAGAAGGUAUCACCAGCUGCUCACUACAAAGAGAUCCAGAGAGAACGAAGACUCUCAGAUGUGGUGUAGCCAAGCUGCUCUGCAGCUCCUGAAUGCUUUGGUACUGCAUAUUUGGGAAAAGAGGGGGCUUUAAAGGCUACAAAGAAACAUGUAGGAAGCUGCUAAUGGCUGAACAAACCCAGUGAAGUUACAGCUCCUGUUGUACUCCAAGAGCUCUUCAAGGUGCCCAACCCACACCCCUACACUGGCCUUUCUUUUAGUAACACCAACAAUAAUUAAUAAUAGAAAAAAUGACAUUUCUGCUGUGUUAUUUGGAGAGAGACAAGCUAAAGGGAUAGACUUGACCUUUUACAGGAACGAGAAAGAAGAGCAACAGUUGGAAAAGAGAAAUUCCUCGUCAAAAAUGCUGAGGAGGACAGGAGGUGGGAUGAGAAGUGAGAAGGAGUCCUCUGUUUCAGUAAUACUGCCUUGUUGAUCUUUCUUUCUUCCAUCAUGUGGUUUCUAUUUUCUUGUAUUAAUCCGUGCUUCCCCUCCCAACAUUUUUUCAUGUGCCUGCCAGUUUGAGGUCAACAAGUACUAAGAAUGGACUGAAAAGAAUUUCCAGGAUGUUUUUUGAGACUAUUAAUAUCUUCAGCAGCUAUUCAAGCAAACACGCUCCAUGUUCAUCGUACUUCAGUGCAUAAGCUCAGCGCUGGAGGAAGUUAAGAUCAGAGAUUCUUCAUGUUGCAUACUGUACAGACAGUCAGAUACACUGUGGAGUUUUUGAGAUAAGAUGGCACUUCCUGUGGGGCACUCAAAAAGAAAGAGACAAUUCUGUGCUGAUAAACAGGAACAGAUUUCAAAGGCAAAGAAAUUCCAGAAGCCACACUCAAUGAGGGAUUUUUAAGAGUUGCUACUUUCAACUCUUCCUAAUUUUAAGGCACCUGACCACGCGGCAGGCAUCCCUGAAGCCCUAAGCUGAGAGGUAUUCCUCAACAAUGCACAAGGAGGCUGACCUACCUCUUAGUGAGACCUGCAGAAGCCAGUCAGGCUGGGCGGACUGCCAAAAGCUAAGGAUAGAGGUGGCACUUAAGGAAAUGUGUAAUUAAGCUUUAUCAGUUCUUCACAGCGAAAGCCAAGAACAGUAUCCACCACCCCAGCAAUGUGGGGUGACUUGGCUGAGACUGGAAGGAGAAAGGUAGAGUAAAAUCCAUGAUGCUGUGAGAUACUCAAAGGAAAAGAAAUCCAAUCAGUGAGGUUCAGGACAAUUCACCUUGAAAUUACACCAAAGGCCUGCAUAGGGCAGUCAGCCAACAGGAUAAUUAGCUGUUCCUCAAACAUGGCAGAAUACCUGAGUUUUGUAUAUCCCAAUAUGGUCCUCUAAGCAGUAUGCUGGGCAAAAUGGGAAGACACAGUUGGCCUUAUUCCAAGUUGUAUUAUAUGUGAGGUACCUGGUAGGUAUGAUCUGAGUAUAUUUAAAAAAAGAAA
ensembl:lncRNA